GACGAACGCUGGCGGCGUGCUUAACACAUGCAAGUCGAACGGAAAGGCCCUGCUUUUGUGGGGUGCUCGAGUGGCGAACGGGUGAGUAACACGUGAGUAACCUGCCCUUGACUUUGGGAUAACUUCAGGAAACUGGGGCAAAACCCGGUUGGAAGUCCUGGUGCCAGGGGGGGGGUGGAAAAUUUCGGCGGUUGGGGAUGGACUCGCGGGUUAUCAGCUUGUUGGUGGGGUAGUGGCUUACCAAGGCUUUGACGGGUAGCCGGCCUGAGAGGGUGACCGGCCACAUUGGGACUGAGAUACGGCCCAGACUCCUACGGGAGGCAGCAGUGGGGAAUAUUGCACAAUGGGCGGAAGCCUGAUGCAGCAACGCCGCGUGCGGGAUGACGGCCUUCGGGUUGUAAACCGCUUUCGCCUGUGACGAAGCGUGAGUGACGGUAAUGGGUAAAGAAGCACCGGCUAACUACGUG
rnacentral:rRNA from 1 species